AGGCUAAUGACACAACCCUUGGGCUGGUCCCUUUCUGUUGUAGAAAUGGUACUAUCUUGCCACCAUCAAUGGAUCCAAGCAAGUCGACUUCGGUUUUUCAGUUGCAGGUCUUCAAAAUGCCACCUGAUCUGAAUAGAUCUGAGCUCACACCACCUCAGAACUGGAAAAUCAACGGGACACUCAACCCUAAUUAUCAAUGCGGCCCUCCAAUGAGGGUGAGUCCCAGCCAUUUCCCGGACCCCAGUGGUGGUCCAGCAAAUAGAACUGCUUUUGCUAG
rnacentral:lncRNA from 1 species